GACGAAGGGGGCUAGCGUUGUUCGGAAUUACUGGGCGUAAAGCGCGUGUAGGCGGUUGUCCAAGUCGGGUGUGAAAGCCUUGAGCUCAACUCAAGAAAUGCACUCGAUACUGGGCGACUAGAGUGCCGGAGAGGAUAGUGGAAUUCCCAGUGUAGUGGUGAAAUACGUAGAGAUUGGGAAGAACACCAGUGGCGAAGGCGGCGAGCUGGUCCAUUACUGACGCUGAGGCGCGACAGCGUGGGGAGCAAACAGG
rnacentral:rRNA from 1 species